rnacentral:rRNA from 1 species
UACGUAGAGUGCAAGCGUUAUCCGGAAUUAUUGGGCGUAAAGAGCUCGUAGGCGGUUUGUCACGUCUGCUGUGAAAACUGGAGGCUCAACCUCCAGCCUGCAGUGGGUACGGGCAGACUAGAGUGCGGUAGGGGGAGAUUGGAAUUCCUGGUGUAGCGGUGGAAUGCGCAGAUAUCAGGAGGAACACCGAUGGCGAAGGCAGAUCUCUGGGCCGUAACUGACGCUGAGGUGCGAAAGCGUGGGGAGCAAACAGG